UUGUUACUUCCCCUAACCCACGCAGAGAGCACAUAAAGAUUUUAUUUCUUUGAAGGAAAAAGGAGAAAGAAAUAUGUUUGCUCUAACAUGACGCAGAAAUCAAUGAUGAUGCUGUCUUAACUUGCUGAGCUUGUAGAAAGAGAAACGCUAGUAAAAUUUAAUACUCUGAAUCAUCAAAGGAUAAAUGGAAGAAGACAUCUUUAUAAAUAGGUGCCAACAGGAGACAGAAAAGGCAAGAAAAAAUGAAGCAGAGAAAAGGAAGUUUCAGAGGCGAGCAGCAGGCACAGUGUCCGAAGGGACAGAGAUCAACCGCGGCGGUGUGGGAUAAAGCAACAACAUCGGCGGUAACAGAGAGGUCGCAGUUGACUUUCAGAAAGAUGGACAUGUCUGGAGCCCAUAAAGCUCAACAAAAUCCUGUUUGGCACUGCCUUCAACCCUGCAGGAUGACCUUCCUCAUGAAGCUAAAGAGAGGAGCCAAGGCUUAAGCAUUUCUUCCUUGAGAGAACCAGAGGAAACCUGAGAAGCUAUACUCAUGGAGCAUCUCCUAACUGGUGUUAUCUUGUAGACUUCAUUGAGAGUUAUAUACCCUUUAAGCUAAAUGUGAUAACGUAUAAUUCAUAUAAAAUCUAUGUGUUUCAGUCUCAUCCUCUCACAUUUUCAAAUCCAGUCUUCUAUAGCCCUAAUUCAUACUCCAGAUGUCUACCUUUCUACUAUGUCAUCCACUGCAUUACUGCUGAGCUCCAGCUCACACAGACACACACACACACACACCAUAAACAAGAGAGAUUCAGAGUCGGCGUAUGAGAAACAUUUUAGUAUGACCUAAAGAAAACAUACGUGCAUAAAUAUGAAAUGAACAAACGUCUGGCAUACAAAAUGUAUUCCAGCAUAUAUGAUGUAUUUUGAUAAUUGCUAUUUUAUUUUCAAUGCUAAUUUUCAUAAACUGAUUAGUUCAUCAAAUAAGAGGUCUCAUCCUACAGUUCAAAUCCAUUUUGCCGUACAUUCAAUUUUCAGAUUGGACCCUGGAAUCCAUUAGUGUACAGUCAAUGAAAUUCUUUACAGAGUUAUCUCCUUUUCUGGCCUACCAUUUAACUUUGUUUUCUUUAUAAGAAUGUCGCAUGAAAUAAUUGUGCCAAGUAUUUUCUUUCUUUCUCAAUUAAUCUCUGAAUGUGAAAGGAAAAUAUAUAUCCUCACUUGCAAGUAAAAUUAAGAGUGACGGGCUUCUCUGAGAAAGAUAAGUGUAUAUAUGCAUGUACAUGAACACAGAUACAUAGAGAAGGAUGUAAUUACAGUAAAUAUAGAUUUUUCUUCUUCUUUACUUAGUUUCUCAAGAGGCAGGUUAAGUGGUCUGGUAUUCCCAUCUCUUUCAGAAUUUUCCACAGUUUAUUGUGAUCCACACAGUCAAAGGCUUUGGCAUAGUCAAUAAAGCAGAAAUAGACGUUUUUCUGGAACUCUCUUGCUUUUUCCAUGAUCCAGUGGAUGUUGGCAAUUUGAUCUCUGGUUCCUCUGCCUUUUCUAAAACCAGUUUGAACAUCAAGGAGUUCACGGUUCAUGUAUUACUGAAGCCUGGCUUGGAGAAUUUUGAGCAUUACUUUACUAGCGUGUGAGAUGAGUGCAAUUGUCUGGUAGUUUGAGCAUUCUUUUGCAUUGCCUUUCUCUGGGAUUGGAAUGAAAACUGACCUUUUCCAGUCCUGUGGCCACUGCUGAGUUUUCCCAAUUUGCUGGCAUAUUGAGUGCAGCACUUUCACAGCAUCAUCUUUCAGGAUUUGAAACAGCUCAAAUGGAAUUCCAUCACCUCUACUAGCUUUGUUCGUAGUGAUGCUUUCUAAGGCCCACUUGACUUCACAUUCCAAGAUGUCUGGCUCUAGAUUAGUGAUCACAUCAUCAUGAUUAUCUGGGUCGUGAAGAUCUUUUUUGUACAGUUCUUCCAUGUAUUCUUGCCACCUCUUCUUAAUAUCUUCUGCUUCUGUUAGGUCCAGACCAUUUCUGAUCUUUAUCGAGCCCAUCUUUGCAUGAAAUGUUCCCUUGGUAUCUCUAAUUUUCUUGAAGAGAUCUCUAGUCUUUCCCAUUCUGUUGUUUUCCUCUAUUUCUUUGCAUUGAUCCCUGAAGAAGGCUUUCUUAUCUCUUCUUGCUAUUCUUCGGAACUCUGCAUUCAGAUGCUUAUAUCUUUCCUUUUCUCCUUUGCUUUUCACCUCUCUUCUUUUCACGGCUAUUUGUAAGGCCUCCCCAAACAGACAUUUUGCUUUUUUGCAUUUCUUUUCCAUGGGGAUGGUCUUGAUCCCUGUCUCCUUUACAAUGUCACGAACCUCAUUCCAUAGUUCAUCAGGCACUCUAUCUGUCAGAUCUAAGCCCUUAAAUCUAUUUCUCACUUCCACUGUAUAAUCAUAAGGGAUUUGAUUUAGGUCAUACCUGAAUGGUCUAGCGGUCUUCCCUACUUUCUUCAAUUUGAGUCUGAAUUUGGUAAUAAGGAGUUCAUGAUCUGAGCCACAGUCAGCUCCUGGUCUUGUUUUUGUUGACUGUAUAGAGCUUCUCCAUCUUUGGCUGCAAAGAAUAUAAUCAAUCUGAUUUCAGUGUUGACCAUCUGGUGACGUCCAUGUGUAGAGUCUUCUCUUGUGU
rnacentral:lncRNA from 1 species